rnacentral:piRNA from 1 species
AGACACAGGUCUUACACAGGUCCGC